rnacentral:rRNA from 1 species
UACGAAGGGGGCUAGCGUUGCUCGGAAUCACUGGGCGUAAAGCGCACGUAGGCGGCUUUCUAAGUCAGGGGUGAAAUCCUGGAGCUCAACUCCAGAACUGCAUUUGAUACUGGAGAGCUCGAGUCCGGAAGAGGUGAGUGGAACUCCGAGUGUAGAGGUGAAAUUCGUAGAUAUUCGCAAGAACACCAGUGGCGAAGGCGGCUCACUGGCCCGAUACUGACGCUGAGGCACGAAAGCGUGGGGAGCAAACAGG